AUUGAACGCUGGCGGCAUGCCUUACACAUGCAAGUCGAACGGCAGCACGGGGGCAACCCUGGUGGCGAGUGGCGAACGGGUGAGUAAUACAUCGGAACGUGCCCAGUAGUGGGGGAUAGCCCGGCGAAAGCCGGAUUAAUACCGCAUACGACCUACGGGUGAAAGCGGGGGAUCGCAAGACCUCGUGCUACCGGAGCGGCCGAUGCCAGAUUAGGUUGUUGGUGGGGUAAAAGCCUACCAAGCCGACGAUCUGUAGCUGGUCUGAGAGGACGACCAGCCACACUGGGACUGAGACACGGCCCAGACUCCUACGGGAGGCAGCAGUGGGUAAAUUUGGACAAUGGGCGCAAGCCUGAUCCAGCCAUGCCGCGUGC
rnacentral:rRNA from 1 species